rnacentral:rRNA from 1 species
GACGUAGGUGGCGAACGUUAUCCGGAAUUAUUGGGCGUAAAGGGUGCGUAGGCGGCAUGAUAAGUUAUUGGCGGUAAAUCGAGGCUCAACCUCGUGGAAACUGAUAAUACUGUUUUGCUUGAGUACAGGAGAGGUUAACGGAACUCCAUGUGGAGCGGUAAAAUGUGUAGAUAUAUGGAGGAACACCAGUGGCGAAGGCGGCUCUUUGGUCUGUAACUGACGCUGAGGCGCGAAAGCGUGGGGAGCGAACAGG